UUAGUUGAAAGCAAAAAGGAUUAAGGCAUGAGCAUCUCUACUAAGGGUGUCUUUGCUGCUACAGGGACUUUUGUUGAAUGAAUAUUCAACAUUCUUCCCUUCAAUUAAGGAUUUUUAGGGUGUUCAAAAUACCCCUUACACGGAUAUGAACUUAUAAUGGAUAUCCAAAUCCAUCUCAGUUGUCCAAACAUCCCCGAAAUCAACACUCAACUCAGGCUGGGGUCCUUCUUCUUCCUUCUUACAAAUUCAUCUAAGUUAGUUCUUG
rnacentral:lncRNA from 1 species